AACGAACGCUGGCGGCAUGCCUAACACAUGCAAGUCGAACGAGACCUUCGGGUCUAGUGGCGCACGGGUGCGUAACGCGUGGGAACCUGCCUUUAGGUUCGGAAUAACUCAGAGAAAUUUGAGCUAAUACCGGAUGAUGUCUUCGGACCAAAGAUUUAUCGCCUUUAGAUGGGCCUGCGUUGGAUUAGCGAGUUGGUGGGGUAAAGGCCUACCAAGGCGACGAUCCAUAGCUGGUCUGAGAGGAUGAUCAGCCACACUGGGACUGAGACACGGCCCAGACUCCUACGGGAGGCAGCAGUGGGGGAUAUUGGACAAUGGGCGGAAGCCUGAUGCAGCAAUGCCGCGUGAGUGAUGAAGGACUUAGGGAUGUAAAGCUCUUUCACCAGAGAUGAUAAUGACAGUAUCGGGAGAAUAAGCCCCGGCUAACUACGUG
rnacentral:rRNA from 1 species